AUUGAACGCUGGCGGUAGGCCUAACUCAUGCAAGUCGAACGGCAGCACAGUAAGAGCUUGCUCUUACGGGUGGCGAGUGGCGGACGGGUGAGGAAUACAUCGGAAUCUACUUUUUCGUGGGGGAUAACGUAGGGAAACUUACGCUAAUACCGCAUACGACCUACGGGUGAAAGCAUGGGAUCUUCGGACCUUGCGCGAUUGAAUGAGCCGAUGUCGGAUUAGCUAGUUGGCGGGGUAAAGGCCCACCAAGGCGACGAUCCGUAGCUGGUCUGAGAGGAUGAUCAGCCACACUGGAACUGAGACACGGUCCAGACUCCUACGGGAGGCAGCAGUGGGGAAUAUUGGACAAUGGGCGCAAGCCUGAUCCAGCCAUACCGCGUGGGUGAAGAAGGCCUUCGGGUUGUAAAGCCCUUUUGUUGGGAAAGAAAAGCAGCAGGUUAAUACCCCGCUGUUCUGACGGUACCCAAAGAAUAAGCACCGGCUAACUUCGUG
rnacentral:rRNA from 1 species